AUGCAGCGGAUUAACCAAGUGUCAUUGAUAUGUGUAUAUCGGCAGUGCACGGAGGCACGCGGAUGUGUGCGAAUGAGAAGCUACAGUACCUGUGUUAGCGCAUCAACAAUAAAGCUCAUUGUUGCGAUAAGCCAGGCGUGGUUAUUACAACAUUACACGGUUGAAAUUGAUAAUUUAAUUGUUCUUCCCCAAAACCCUCUGUUAUCUGACCAUUUCUUAUUAACUUUUGAAUUUAGCAUAAUUGACCUUACAAUAGCUGGAAAGAAAUGUUACUAUAGCAGAUGUUUAUGUGACAACGCUGUUGCCAGAUUUAAGCAGAUGAUUCCAUCAUCUUUUGCCUCAAUGUGUUGUAGAUACACAGAGAACAGUCACCUUAAUCCUUAUGAACAGGUUGACUGUCUUGUAGAUGAUGCUGCAGCUUCUCUACGUACAAUGUUAGACACAGUGGCUCCUCUGAAGAAGAAGGCAGUGAAUCAGAGGAGGUUAGCUCCGUGGUAUAACUCAGAGAUCCGCAGCCUAAAGCACAGGACCAGACAACUAGAAAGACAGUGGCGUUCCAACAAAAUAAAUGUAAACUGCACUGCAUGGAAGGAGAGUCUAAUAGAAUAUAAAAAAGCACUUUGUGCUGCUAGAAAAACAUAUUAUUCCUCCCUAAAUGAGGAAAACAAAAACAACCCCAGGUUUCUUUUCAGCACUGUAGCCAGGCUGACUAAGAGUCAUAGCUGUGUUGAGUCUACUAUCCCCUUAAAUCUCAGCAGCAAUGACUUUAUGAACUACUUUACUAAUAAAAUUAUCACCAUUAGAAAAGACACUCAGCAGCAACUUCUUCCAAAUGACAGAAAGCACUGUCUAGAUCCAUCAACUUUAAAUUUACCAAAUCCUCUGUCUUACCUAGACAGCUUCUUCCCCAUAACUCAUAUGGAGUCAACCUUAAUAAUCAACUCUUUUAGAUCCAAUCCUAACCAGAUUACUGAAAGAAGUUCUACCUUUAAUCAGCUCAUCCAUAUUAAAUCAAAUCAACCAAUCUUUACAUUUAGGCUAUGUCCCACAGGCUUUUAA
rnacentral:lncRNA from 1 species